AAAAUAUACACACACACAAAAAAAGAUAAAAAUUAGAAAAAAAAGAGGACAAAAUAGACAGCAGCGUGACGAAACGAGAUUGCAUAUUUACGUA
rnacentral:ribozyme from 1 species